rnacentral:rRNA from 1 species
AGAGUUUGAUUCUGGCUCAGGAUGAACGCUAGCUACAGGCUUAACACAUGCAAGUCGAGGGGCAGCAUUGGAGUAGCAAUACUCAGAUGGCGACCGGCGCACGGGUGAGUAACACGUAUCCAACCUGCCGCUUACUCGGGGAUAGCCUUUCGAAAGAAAGAUUAAUACCCGAUGGUAUAAAGAGUUCGCAUGUUCUCUUUAUUAAAGAAUUUCGGUAAGCGAUGGGGAUGCGUUCCAUUAGAUAGUUGGCGGGGUAACGGCCCACCAAGUCUACGAUGGAUAGGGGUUCUGAGAGGAAGGUCCCCCCACAUUGGAACUGAGACACGGUCCAAACUCCUACGGGAGGCAGCAGUGAGGAAUAUUGGUCAAUGGACGAGAGUCCGAACCAGCCAAAGUAGCGUGAAGGAUGACUGCCCUAUGGGUUGUAAACUUCUUUUAUAAGGGAAUAAAGUGAGGGACGUGUCCCUUUUUGUAUGUACCUUAUGAAUAAGGAUCGGCUAACUCCGUGCCAGCCGCCGC